CUUACGCCAACUGGUUCCAUUCCAUUGACAACAGCAACUCCUCAGGUUCUUCAUUCUUGUUGGUCUGCAAAGUGUUUUUUGAAGGUCCAACUGGUAUGAAUUCCUGUUAAAAAACAACAUGAAGUUCUUCAAGCUUCGAGGUGGUACUAUACUAGGAGGAUUUGUCUACUCCAUAACUAACGUCAAUAAUAAUAAUAUCACUAAAGCUAGUCCGGCGGUUCCAUGCAGAUUGGAAACAGACCAGACCUGAGUGAGACCUCAUCACUUCAUUAUAGGCAAAAUUGUUGGAUGAUGUAUCCGACGUGGCUGUCUUCUUUUUGUGGGUUCGGUUUCAGCUCUCUCUCAUGUAAGUAGAUCAGGCAGUACCCACACUUGCUCUUAUUUUUCAUUUUGUUUUGUUUAAAAUCUAGGUCAUAUUAGCCCAUUUAGACCCAAAUAAUUUUCCUGAAUCUGCAAGGUGGUACCGUACAAACUCUAAAUUACUCUAAAUUAUUAGAUUAAAAAAAUAAUUUUAUAUUUUAAUAUUUAUAUAUUUAAUUUAAAAUUUAGUAAAAUAUUUAAUUAAUUAUAUUAUGUUGAUUAAGUUCUAUAAUUUAAUUAGAAUUCUUUAAAUUUAUCGAAACGAUUAAACAUGUAAUGAGCAAUAAUUAUACUGACAUGAUUUAGAAUAUGAAUCUUUAAAGUAAUUACUUAGAUUAUUAUGUAUAUAUUUAAGAGUAUAUAUUUCUACUUAUUUUCAUAUAAUAUAUAAACAUAAAUUGAAAUGCAGCAUCGAAAUAAGCUGGUAGCAAAAAAAUUAAAAUAACUACUCAAAUAGUACUGAUGACUUUGAUAUUUAUAUUUUUUAAGGAAUGAAUGGAGUUUGUUUUUCUUUAAGAACACAUAAAAGUUUACUAUUUUUGGAUCCCUAAGAAGAAAGACAGAUGAGAGAAGAGGAGAGAGGGUUAAUCUUAGAAAAAAGAACAAAAAAAUAGAGAGAGACAGAAAUGAAAUUUUUGUAUUGAGAAAAUAUUAUGACAGUCUUGACAAUUGGAUUUAAAUGACCCGAAGAUCAUAAAUUUUACAUUAAAUAGACCUAAAGAAAGGUUAAAAAGCUGUAAACUGGUCCUUCUGAAUAAGUUGGAGGGCCAAAUUGAACAUUAUUCAAACAUGUAUGACCUAAGAGUAUUUGGUGAUGAAAAGAAGGUACGGAAAUUGAAUUUGAAGUUUGAGCAAACUUGGUAGGUAGGCAGCUCUGGAUGACUAUGCAAUUCCAAAUUUACUCAUCUACUGAAGCAUUUAUUUAUUAAUUUAUCAUGUUCAAUCUUUAUGAGUAUUUCCAGGGGAACUAAUAAUUGUUGUUGAUUGGCGGUAAAUGUAGGUGCAUGCAUGUAUGAUGAAUCCACAUUCUCGUACUUAUAAAAAGAAAUACUAAAUAUUUUAUUUUUAUUUAUCUUAAUUCUUAUAUGAUGUAUUAUAUAAUAAUUUUAUUAAAUUUAUAUACAUAUAUAUAUUAAAUUUAUACUUUUAAAAAAUUUAAGAAUAUUUAAAAAUAGUUAGUUAGUUUUUAUUUUUUAAAUUUUAUAAAUUAAUAUUAAAUAUUAAAAAAUUUAUUUAAUUAUAUUUAUUAAUUUAAUUUUAUAAUUAAAAUAAUAAUAUUUUUUAAUUUUUUGAGAUUAAGAAACUGUAUGUAAGAAUUUUAAUGUUAUAUUAGAUGGAUACAAAUUGAAAUAAAUACACGUGAGUUAUUCUAAUACUAUUAGAACUAGUCAAUUAUUAUAUUUCUUUCAUUUUAAGAAGAUAAUCCACUUUAAUACUAUAAAUUUCUAGAAUUAUUCCUUUAAAAUAUUUUUAUAAAAUUAUAUUUAAUAAUUAUUUAUUAAAUUAGUAACUAAAAAAUACAUCAAAAUUUAAGAUGGCUAACAAGGAAAAUGGAAUUAAUCUUUUGAGAUGAUGGGAAUGCCUAGAGUAAUGCACAAACUCAAUGGUCACGUAUUACUUAUGGAAAUACAGACUCCUAUACUAAUCAACUCAUAUGCAUAUGAGUUGAUGCACAAAGUCAUUGGCUCACAUACCACCGAAGCUGUUCACCUAAUGGUUUAGAUUCGAUUUUUGGAGGACGGUUAUUUGAGGUAUGUAUCUCUCUUGUAAAGAUCACUUAGAUCAAGUGUUGGUUGGAUCUUUUCUAUUUGAGCUUGAGGUUGGUGUUUGCAGUAAUGCGCUUGGACUCCACCUCAAAUUUAGCUAUAGCUCUACAAGUAUUUUACAUUAAAAAGAAACUUAUAUGGUUACGUCCAGUAAGGUCAAGUCCCGAAGAUCGCCCUCUCUCUUUUUAUAUUAACCAAAAAAAAACUCAUUGGUCACAUCAAUUGUGAAAAAUAUCACUGUUAAAUCUAUUUUUUUUAUUGGAGAUUUGUUCAUCUUCUUUUUACGAUUUCGAAAAUAACUUUUGUUUGAAGAAGCAUGUUCCAAAUAUACUUUUGACUAAAUAAAUAAAUAAACCAAAAGCUAAUUUGGAAAAACUGUAUCAAACUACACCUGUGACAAUCGACUUAUACCUAAGGAAUGAAUGGAGUCAAGUUGAUUAUACUGGUGUGUUGAAAAUUUCAGUUGUCUCACCUAUCUCUGAACAACCUGAUAGCUGACCUGAGAGCAACUUCUGUGUAUGUGCGUGUUUAAUCAAAGUCCUUGAGGACCUUGACUUGCUAUUCUUAACCUGGGUACUUGGAAGAUCAUGUAGCUUGAUUUUUCUUGUAUAUUUAUUUAUCCUCAACAAUAUACCAGGGAAGUCAUAAAAUCUUGAAAUCUUAAUUCAAAUAACAAAUCAUUUACAUUUUAAUCAAUCAAGCAUUCAUGAAUACAUCGCCAUCUUAUACAAGAAUAGCAUGUCUCUCAUGAAAUCCAAUAUAUGUAUGUACAUGAAAGAAGGAGAAGAAGAAGAAAAAAAACAAACAAAUUCCUUUGGAUCAAAAGAAUUAUCUUGAUGCAAACCAAUUAUGCAUGCUAAUCUUUCUAAGCACCCACUUUUGUGGACAUGGUACAUUAGAAACUAACUUGAACACCCUUUCUUUUUCCUGUAAUUGCCAGAGAUUUAGAAUCCUUUCCAGGCAUUGAGAACUUCAUUGAAUAUUUCAGCUAUCAGAUCCCUAUCUGCACAUUGCAUGAAAUCAUUAAAAUCAUCUCGAAUAUCAAAUAUCCUACUGAAUUUCACAAGAUACAUCAUGCAGCUCAUCUUCAGUUUCGGUAGCUGGUACAAUGAUGCACUUUGUAGUCGGUCGAGAACAUUCUUUGUAUCUAUAUCCUCCAAAAGACUCUCAUGGCAUGCCUCUUUCAAGUCGUC
rnacentral:lncRNA from 1 species